rnacentral:rRNA from 1 species
GACGAACGCUGGCGGCGUGCUUAACACAUGCAAGUCGAGCGGUAAGGCCCUUUCGGGGGUACGACGAGCGGCGAACGGGUGAGUAACACGUGGGUGACCUGCCCUCAGCUCUGGGAUAAGCCUGGGAAACCGGGUCUAAUACUGGAUAUGACUCCAUGACGCAUGUUGUGGGGUGGAAAGCCUUGUGCGGCUGAGGAUGGGCCCGCGGCCUAUCAGCUU